UACGUAGGUGGCAAGCGUUGUUCGGAAUUAUUGGGCGUAAAGGGCGCGUAGGCGGUUUGUUAAGUCAGCUGUGAAAGCCCGGGGCUCAACCCCGGAGGGUCAGCUGAUACUGCCGAGCUUGAGUCCGGUAGGGGAGUGUGGAAUUCCCGGUGUAGCGGUGAAAUGCGCAGAUAUCGGGAGGAACACCCGUAGCGAAGGCGGCACUCUGGGCCGGUACUGACGCUGAG
rnacentral:rRNA from 1 species